rnacentral:rRNA from 1 species
UACGAAGGUCCCAAGCGUUAUCCGGAUUUAUUGGGUUUAAAGGGUGCGUAGGCGGGUUAUUAAGUCAGUGGUGAAAGCCUUCAGCUCAACUGAAGAACUGCCAUUGAUACUGAUGAUCUUGAGUACGAUUGAGGUAGGCGGAAUGUGUCAUGUAGCGGUGAAAUGCUUAGAUAUGACACAGAACACCGAUUGCGAAGGCAGCUUACCAAGCUGUAACUGACACUGAGGCACGAAAGUGUGGGGAUCAAACAGG